GAUGAAGAACGCAGCGAAAUGCGAUAAGUAGUGUGAAUUGCAGAAUUCAGUGAAUCAUCGAAUCUUUGAACGCACAUUGCGCCCCUUGGUAUCCCGAGGGGCAUGCCUGUUCGAGCGUCAUUUCACCACUCAAGCCUGGCUUGGUGUUGGGCGACGUCCUCUUUGGGGACGCGCCUCGAAACGCUCGGCGGCGUGGCACCGGCUUUAAGCGUAGCAGAAUCUUUCGCUUUGGAAGUCGGGGCCCCGUCUGCCGGAAGACCUGCUCGCAAGGUUGACCUCGGAUCAGGCAGGGAUACCCGCUGAACUUAAGCAUAUCAAUAAGCGGAGA
rnacentral:misc_RNA from 1 species